AUCAGGCCAAUUGGAGAGAGGCCGGCAACGCCGGUCCACCGAAGGGGCAAUGCGCGGUCCGCCGCGCCAAACUCUCAGGUAAAAGGACAAGGGGAGAGGC
rnacentral:ncRNA from 2 species